rnacentral:lncRNA from 1 species
CAAUGACACUGGAGCGCGCAUGCACGAGACAACUCCAUGUUUUACUUUCAGUGUUUGAACGAAUACAACGUCGCCCGGUUGGAAUAUUAUCGCUAUUUUACGAGAAAAAUCGCACACAAAUUUAUUUAAACAGCGUUUGACAUGCUUCGAAGUACGGUAAUGGAAUAUUUUGAAAUAUUUUGUCACGAAACGCGCCGGCGCGUCACCCUUCGGAUAGUUACCUGAACGCAUGAACAAAACGGAGCUAUUUCAAUAUAACUAUGGAUUAUUUCGAACCAAAACAACAUUUGUUGUUGAAGUAGAAGUCCUGGGAGUGCAUUCUGACAAAGAACAGCAAAGCAGACGAACAGUGGAGAGGAGCAACGAUUAUCGGGCAACGAGGUGGACUUCAGUCGGUCGAUGUUUCCGGUCUGAAUGGCCUGCUUAUUAAGUGUAAUUCCAGACGAUGACGCCAUCAUCAGGAGAGGAAAGGUUAGCGUUGGUGAGUACUGACAUGGAGACGACGAUGGAGGAAGAAAAAAACGCCCCAGGGAAUAUGCAGUGGCACGAAAUCAAUUGAAUUCGCUGGCAGGUUAGAAAUUAUUUUCAAAGGAGGACUUAUUAAUGAUAGUCAAUCCCCAUAAUUCUAAUUGUCUCUCUAUGCAAAUAUCAAACAGCAUGUAUGCACUAGGCUAGUCAAUGACUGUUGGUGUUGGACAAUCCCUUUUUUCAGGGGUGAUGCAGGAAAAAUAGUCAAGGUUUAGUCAGGUAGCACUUGGGCAUUUUUAUUUACAUGUAUUCAGUUGUGUUGUUUCUGCAGUUGUGUUAUUCUGCAAUUUCUACAUUGCAGAAUAAUAGUGAAGACAACAAAACUAUGAAAUAAAAAAUGUGGAAUCAUGUAGUAACCAAAACAACAGUGAAACGAAUCAAAAUAUAUUUUAGAUUUUAGAUUCUUCAAAGAAG